UACGUAGGGGCCAAGCGUUGUCCGGAUUUAUUGGGCGUAAAGAGCUCGUAGGCGGUUGGGUAAGUCGGGUGUGAAAACUCCAGGCUCAACUUGGAGAUGCCACCCGAUACUGCUCUGACUUGAGUUCGGUAGGGGAGUGGGGAAUUCCUGGUGUAGCGGUGAAAAUGCGCAGAUAUCAGGAGGAACACCGGUGGCGAAGGCGCCACUCUGGGCCGAAACUGACGCUGAGGAGCGAAAGCGUGGGUAGCAAACAGG
rnacentral:rRNA from 1 species